UACGGAGGGAGCUAGCGUUGUUCGGAUUUACUGGGCGUAAAGGGCGCGUAGGCGGCCACCGCAAGUCAAUUGUGAAAUCUCCGGGCUUAACUCGGAAAGGUCAACUGAUACUGCGGGGCUAGAGUGCGGAAGGGGCAACUGGAAUUCUCGGUGUAGCGGUGAAAUGCGCAGAUAUCAGGAGGAACACCGAUGGCGAAGGCAGCUCGCUGGGACGGUACUGACACUGAGGCGCGAAAGCGUGGGGAGCAAACAGG
rnacentral:rRNA from 1 species